rnacentral:rRNA from 1 species
CCUACGGGGCGCAGCAGUGGGGAAUAUUGCACAAUGGGGGGAACCCUGAUGCAGCGACGCCGCGUGAAGGAUGAAGUAUUUCGGUACGUAAACUUCUAUCAGCAGGGAAGAAAAUGACGGUACCUGACUAAGAAGCCCCGGCUAACUACGUGCCAGCAGCCGCGGUAAUACGUAGGGGGCAAGCGUUAUCCGGAUUUACUGGGUGUAAAGGGAGCGUAGACGGUGAUGUAAGUCUGGAGUGAAAGGAGGGGGCCCAACCCCCGGACUGCUCUGGAAACUAUGUGACUGGAGUGCAGGAGAGGGGG